UGGGGAAUAUUGCACAAUGGGCGCAAGCCUGAUGCAGCCAUGCCGCGUGUAUGAAGAAGGCCUUCGGGUUGUAAAGUACUUUCAGCGAGGAGGAAGGCGUUGUGGUUAAUAACCGCAGCGAUUGACGUUACUCGCAGAAGAAGCACCGGCUAACUCCGUGCCAGCAGCCGCGGUAAUACGGAGGGUGCAAGCGUUAAUCGGAAUUCCUGGGCGUAAAGCGCACGCAGGCGGUCUGUCAAGUCGGAUGUGAAAUCCCCGGGCUCAACCUGGGAACUGCAUCCGAAACUGGCAGGCUAGAGUCUUGUAGAGGGGGGUAGAAUUCCAGGUGUAGCGGUGAAAUGCGUAGAGAUCUGGAGGAAUACCGGUGGCGAAGGCGGCCCCCUGGACAAAGACUGACGCUCAGGUGCGAAAGCGUGGGGAGCAAACA
rnacentral:rRNA from 1 species